rnacentral:tRNA from 1 species
AUGCCCAUGGUGUAGUGGUUAUCACAACCGCCUAACACGCGGAUAGUCCCAUGUUCGAAACCUGGUCGGUACA